rnacentral:rRNA from 1 species
CGAUACGAGUUUGAUCAUGGCUCAGAGCGAACGUUAGCGGCGGGCUUAACACAUGCAAGUCGAGCGAGAAAGGGGCUUCGGCCCUGAGUACAGCGGCGGACGGGUGAAUAACACGUAGGUAACCUUCCUUCCAGCGGGGGACAACGGUCCGAAAGGACCGCUAAUACCGCAUACGUUCCCUGGGACCCUGGUCCCGGGGAGGAAAGCUCCGCAAGGGGCACUGGAUGAGGGGCCUGCGUAGCAUCAGCUAGUUGGUGGGGUAAUGGCCUACCAAGGCUAAGACGCUUAGCUGGUCUGAGAGGAUGAUCAGCCACACUGGGACUGAGACACGGCCCAGACUCCUACGGGAGGCAGCAGUGGGGAAUAUUGGACAAUGGGCGCAAGCCUGAUCCAGCCACGCCGCGUGAGUGAUGAAGGCCUUCGGGUCGUAAAGCUCUGUGGGGAGGGACGAAUGGCGCCGUGAAGAGCGGCGAGUGACGGUACCUCCUUAGCAAGCACCGGCUAACUUCGUG